UCAAUGUAACGGGGCUCAAGCACGCCACCGAAGUUGUGGCAUUCAUAUUUAUAGACAGGCCUUCGUGGUCCAGUCGUGUGGAUGGGUAGGAGAGCGUCGUGUGCGAGUGAAGCGGCGGUGGAAACCAGCCGUGGACGCUACACGAGUGAGAAUGCAGGCAUGAGUAGCGAAAGACGGGUGAGAAACCCGUCCUCCGAAUGAUCAAGGGUUCCAGGGUCAAGCUAAUCUUCCCUGGGUAAGCCGGGACCUAAGGCGAGGCCGACAGGCGUAGUCGAUGGACAACGGGUUGAUAUUCCCGUGGCCGGCGAAAAACCGCCCAAGCUAAUCCAGUAGUGCUAAGAGUCCGAAUCUUUUCGUCUGCCUUCGGGUGGGUGGGAAGCCUAGCGCUCGACCCCGUUCUGGUGCGGUUAGCGUAUUAACAGGUGUGACGCAGAAAGGUAGCCGAACCGGGUGAUUGGUUGAAUCCGGGCAAGGAUGUAGGGUGAGUGAUAGGCAAAUCCGUCACUCGUGAAGCCUGAGAUCUGACGCGGAACUCACGUAUGUGAGGUAGUCGGUGAUCCUCUGCUGCCAAGAAAAGCAUCGACGCGAGGUUUUAGUCGCCCGUACCCCAAACCGACACAGGUGAUCAGGUAGAGAAUACCAAGGAGAUCGAGAGAAUCGUGUUAAGGAACUCGGCAAAAUGCCCCCGUAACUUCGGGAGAAGGGGGGCCUGAGGCGUAUAGGGAUUUACUCCUGAAAGCGCAUUGAUGGCCGCAGAGACCAGUGGGAAGCGACUGUUUAUCAAAAACACAGGUCCGUGCGAAGUCGCAAGACGAUGUAUACGGACUGACGCCUCCCCGGUGCUGGAAGGUUAAGAGGAAGGGUUAGCUUCGGCGAAGCUCUGAAUUUAAGCCCCAGUAAACGGCGGUGGUAACUAUAACCAUCCUAAGGUAGCGAAAUUCCUUGUCGGGUAAGUUCCGACCUGCACGAAUGGCGUAACGACUUCCCAGCUGUCUCAACCGCGAACUCGGCGAAAUUGCAUUACGAGUAAAGAUGCUCGUUACGCGCAGCAGGACGAAAAGACCCCGUGACCUUUACUACAGCUUGGUAUUGGUGUUCGGUGUGGCUUGUGUAGGAUAGGUGGGAGACUGUGAAGCGGGCACGCUAGUGUUCGUGGAGUCGUUGUUGAAAUACCACUCUGGUCAUUCUGGAUAUCUAACUUCGAACCGUAAUCCGGUUCAGGGACAGUGCCUGGUGGGUAGUUUAACUGGGGCGGUUGCCUCCUAAAGAGUAACGGAGGCGCCCAAAGGUUCCCUCAACCUGGUUGGCAAUCAGGUGGCGAGUGUAAGUGCACAAGGGAGCUUGACUGUGAGACUGACAAGUCGAGCAGGGACGAAAGUCGGGACUAGUGAUCCGGCAGUGGCUUGUGGAAGCGCUGUCGCUCAACGGAUAAGAGGUACCUCGGGGAUAACAGGCUGAUCUUGCCCAAGAGUCC
rnacentral:rRNA from 1 species